CCUGCGAGGGCGCUGUCGAUCGGAGCCGGGGAACCACGUUCCUCGGGGUGAAUCGGCGCCAGGCUGACGGACCGUCGCGAGACGGCUCGGCGGUGAGGCGUCGUAGGGCAUCUCUUCCAGCCCGAACCCGUCAGCUCACCCGGUAGGCGGACGUAGGAAGAAGGA
rnacentral:sRNA from 2 species